GACGAACGCUGGCGGCGUGCUUAACACAUGCAAGUCGAACGGAAAGGCCCUGCUUUUGUGGGGUGCUCGAGUGGCGAACGGGUGAGUAACACGUGAGUAACCUGCCCUUGACUUUGGGAUAACUUCAGGAAACUGGGGCUAAUACCGGAUAGGAGCUCCUGCUGCAUGGUGGGGGUUGGAAAGUUUCGGCGGUUGGGGAUGGACUCGCGGCUUAUCAGCUUGUUGGUGGGGUAGUGGCUUACCAAGGCUUUGACGGGUAGCCGGCCUGAGAGGGUGACCGGCCACAUUGGGACUGAGAUACGGCCCAGACUCCUACGGGAGGCAACAGUGGAGAAUAGUGCACAAUGGGCGGAAGCCUGAUGCAGCAACGCCGCGUGCGGGAUGACGGCCUUCGGGUUGUAAACCGCUUUCGCCUGUGACGAAGCGUGAGUGACGGUAAUGGGUAAAGAAGCACCGGCUAACUACGUG
rnacentral:rRNA from 1 species